rnacentral:rRNA from 1 species
UACGGAGGGGGCUAGCGUUGUUCGGAAUUACUGGGCGUAAAGCGCACGUAGGCGGCUUUGUAAGUUAGAGGUGAAAGCCUGGAGCUCAACUCCAGAACUGCCUUUAAGACUGCAUCGCUUGAAUCCAGGAGAGGUGAGUGGAAUUCCGAGUGUAGAGGUGAAAUUCGUAGAUAUUCGCAAGAACACCAGUGGCGAAGGCGGCUCACUGGCCCGGAACUGACGCUGAGAUGCGAAAGCGUGGGGAGCAAACAGG